GCAGGUGGAUUCACAAUUAUAUAAAGGCUUACACAAAGAAAUGCCUCAAUCAUAUCUAAAACCAAACAACUUCUAUUUCGCUUUGCAAACACACAGGGCAAGUUCUAGGUAUCGCAUGCAAGCACAGAAUGCAAGUAAAAUCUCACACACACUUAGCAUGUAACUCGUUCAGAAUCAAUUUAUCAAUACACUCAUAUGAGCUUUCAAGCAAGGCAAGAUGUGCAAAAUUAAGGCAUAGAUUUACAAGUCCACAACUGAGCCUAGACAUAACACUCUCAAGUUCAUUUUAGUUGUUUGCAGGUGUGAACAUCAAGGGUAGCACUCUAGCCUUCACCCAUGUUAGUCCUAAACUACAAAUGAAAAAUCUACCUAACCCGGUUCAAGAAAAAAUAUUGGAAAAGAACCGUGGUCAAAAGAAAAACCAAGGAGGAUUUACUACACUACCUAAGAAGGAAAAAAUAAAUAAAAAAAUAUUUACAUGGACUACUUCCCUCGAGAGUACUGUCCAAGUGGUCCGUCCUCUCCUCUAACUUUGUUUUUUUUCCAGCUUUUUUUAUGUAUCCGACUUGGACCCUCAAGAGACCCGUCGACAAGUGUCCGUCAUUGGGCCAAGUCAGGUACUCCUUAUAUACCUACCAUCAGUUAUAUACAACACAACAAACCAAUGUUGUAAUAGUCACAAUGUCUAUGUACGGUACAACACAUAACCAGAGAAAGUCUCCCACCCCACACUUAAAAUCACGGCAUGUCCUCACGUCAUAUCAAUAAAGUAAAGAACAGAUGGGUAAGAAGAC
rnacentral:lncRNA from 1 species